rfam:Clostridium sp. CAG:510 genomic scaffold, scf67
AGCCGAAACGCUCCGCCCUGGGGCGUCAGCCGUGGGAUGGUCUCCCGGCUAUGAUGAUGGCAGACCAGA